rnacentral:rRNA from 1 species
UACGUAGGGGGCAAGCGUUGUCCGGAUUUAUUGGGCGUAAAGAGCGUGUAGGCGGCUUUACAGGUCCGUUGUGAAAACUCGAGGCUCAACCUCGAGAUGUCGAUGGAAACCGUCUGGCUAGAGUCCGGAAGAGGAGUGUGGAAUUCCUGGUGUAGCGGUGAAAUGCGCAGAUAUCAGGAAGAACACCUAUGGCGAAGGCAGCGCUCUGGGACGGUACUGACGCUGAGACGCGAAAGUGUGGGGAGCGAACAGG